AAUAUGAAAUGAUUCUUUAAGUAAGAAAUUUGUACACAUGAAUUGAUCAAUGAAUCACUUCACACUCAAUUGCUCUGGUGCUUAGCAUUGUAGACAUCUCUCCAAUCCUCGGCAAAAGGUUUUCCAAUGUUCUCCCUUCCGAGUUUCAUUGUAAUUGGAAUAACAAUCAUCGUAAUUGGAAUCACAAAUUUCUCAAUAAAUCUGUGAUCAAAUUGGCACAGAGUGUGGUAGGUUAAAUCGCUGCUAAUAAAUCUGCAUGUAGGUGUGAAUCGCUCAGUCAUUUCAUCAAAACUAUUUAAUCAAAGAAAGCAUCGGCUUAACUGGGUCAGAGAGGAAAGUACCUCAUUGAUAAGCUGUGUCUCUGAGCAUAAAUCAGGACAAUCUUCGGUAACCCACAUUAGCUUCCUGAGCCCAGCCUUUCCGUGCCGAUGGUGAUAUAACAACAAUAGCUGAAG
rnacentral:lncRNA from 1 species